rnacentral:rRNA from 1 species
CCUACGGGCGGCAGCAGUGAGGAAUAUUGGGCAAUGGGCGAAAGCCUGAACCAGCCACGUCGCGUGAGGGAUGACUGCCCUCAGAGUUGUAAACUUCGUUUGUAGAGGAGUAAAGUGAGGCACGUGUGCCUUUUUGUAUGGACUUUAUGAAUAAGGGUCGGCUAACUCAGUGCCGGCAGCCGCGGUAAUACGGAGGAUCCGAGCGUUAUCCGGAUUUAUUGGGUUUAAAGGGAGCGUAGAGGGGUUGUUAAGUCAGUUGUGAAAGCCUGCGGCUCAACCGUAAAACUGCAAUUGAUACUGGCAGCCUGGAGUACAGUUGAGGUAGGUGGAAUUCGUGGUGUAGCGGUGAAAUGCGUAGAUAUCACGAAGAACUCCGAUUGCGAAGGCAGCUUACUAACCUGUCACUGACACUGAUGCUCGAAAGUGUGGGUAUCAAACAGGAUUAGAUACCCUAGUAGUC